rnacentral:rRNA from 1 species
CUGGCUCAGGACGAACGCUGGCGGCGUGCUUAACACAUGCAAGUCGAACGGGAGUAUUGAAGAAGCUUGCUUAGAGAUACUUUAGUGGCGGACGGGUGAGUAACGCGUGAGGAGCUGUCCUAUGCAGGGGGACAACAGCUGGAAACGGCUGCUAAUACCCCAUAAGCCGAGAGGUAAAAGGAUCAAUCCGGCAGAGGAGGUACUCGCGUCCUAUCAGCUAGUAGGUGAGGUAACGGCUCACCUAGGCGAAGACGGGUAGCCGGCCUGAGAGGGCGAACGGCCACACUGGAACUGAGAUACGGUCCAGACUCCUACGGGAGGCAGCAGUGGGGAAUAUUGGGCAAUGGGGGGAAACCCUGACCCAGCGACGCCGCGUGGGUGAAGAAAUCCUUCGGGAUGUAAAGCCCUGUUGUAUGGGAAGAGCGGAAGACGGUACCAUACGAGGAAGCCCCGGCAAACUACGUGCCAGCCGCAGC